rnacentral:rRNA from 1 species
UCAGGACGAACGCUGGCGGCGUGCCUAAUACAUGCAAGUCGAGCGCAGGAAGCUGACGGAACUCUUCGGAGGGAAGGCAGUGGAAUGAGCGGCGGACGGGUGAGUAACACGUAAGGAACCUGCCUCAAGGAUUGGGAUAACUCCGAGAAAUCGGAGCUAAUACCGGAUAGUUCAACGGACCGCAUGGUCCGGUGAUGAAAGGCGCUCCGGCGUCACCUUGAGAUGGCCUUGCGGUGCAUUAGCUAGUUGGUGGGGUAACGGCCCACCAAGGCGACGAUGCAUAGCCGACCUGAGAGGGUGAUCGGCCACACUGGGACUGAGACACGGCCCAGACUCCUACGGGAGGCAGCAGUAGGGAAUCUUCCACAAUGGACGAAAGUCUGAUGGAGCAACGCCGCGUGAGUGAUGAAGGUUUUCGGAUCGUAAAACUCUGUUGUAAGGGAAGAACACGUACGAGAGGAAAUGCUCGUACCUUGACGGUACCUUACGAGAAAGCCACGGCUAACUACGUGCCAGCAGCCGCGGUAAUACGUAGGUGGCAAGCGUUGUCCGGAAUUAUUGGGCGUAAAGCGCGCGCAGGCGGCCUUUUAAGUCUGAUGUGAAAGCCCCCGGCUCAACCGGGGAGGGCCAUUGGAAACUGGAAGGCUUGAGUACAGAAGAGAAGAGUGGAAUUCCACGUGUAGCGGUGAAAUGCGUAG